rnacentral:rRNA from 1 species
GACGAACGCUGGCGGCGUGCCUAAUACAUGCAAGUCGAACGAAGCUGUUUUAACUGGUGCUUGCACCGACUUAAACAACUGAGUGGCGAACGGGUGAGUAACACGUGGGUAACCUGCCCCAAAGCGGGGGAUAACAUUUGGAAACAGAUGCUAAUACCGCAUAAUCACAGAAACCACAUGGUUUCUGUGUCAAAGAUGGUUUCGGCUAUCACUUUGGGAUGGACCCGCGGCGUAUUAGCUAGUUGGUAAGGUAAUGGCCUACCAAGGCAAUGAUACCUAGCCGAACUGAGAGGUUGAUCGGCCACAUUGGGACUGAGACACGGCCCAAACUCCUACGGGAGGCAGCAGUAGGGAAUCUUCCACAAUGGACGAAAGUCUGAUGGAGCAACGCCGCGUGAGUGAAGAAGGUUUUCGGAUCGUAAAACUCUGUUGUCAGAGAAGAACGUGUGCGAGAGUAACUGUUCGUGCAGUGACGGUAUCUGGCCAGAAAGCCACGGCUAACUACGUGCCAGCCGCCGCAGUAA